UCUGUAAGCAAUGAAAGGCGAGUCAAGGACUGCGGAAUCAUCCCUGAGAGCGAAUUGUUUGAGAGAUUGAGAAUGUUAAGACCAUCCAAAUUUCCAAGCUCUUCUGGAAUGCUGCCAGAAAUAUUAUUAUGGCCCAAAUUCAAGAUAUAGAGAUAUGCCAUGGUCCCAAUCUCCUUUGGAAUGCUGCCCGACAAUACGUUGUAUGAAAGAUCAAGAAAGAUCAUUGAACCAUUAUCUUUGAAUGUGGGCUGUGUGUGACCUCCAUAUACUCUUGUGAAAUCACAGGGGUCCCUGGUGGAGAUUCUAUCCAAAUUUUCCGGUCUAAUUCCCGCAAACUCUAGCAAAUUGCCUUCUCCAUGGCAUCGCUCACUCUUCUUAUUCUUAAGAUACACGUAUCUCUUUCCGGUGAUAAAAUUUACAGCAACUUUGCCAGACUGUCUGAAUAGCUCAGCUGGGAUUGUGCCAUUCAAGAAAUUAGUAUUAAGAUCCAACCAAAUCAAGCUACCACAAUCACCAAGCUCCGGUGGAAUUCUGCCAUAAAAUGAGUUGUUGCUUAGUUUAAGAAUUGCAAGACUUGAAAGCUGUCCAAUUGAUGCUGGAAUCUCACCAGUCAAUUGAUUGUUAGACAAUGAGAUCCAGUUCAGCUUUGAGCAGUUGCUUAUAGUAGAGGGAAUAACUCCUGUCAAGUCAUUGAAGUCUAGAAUCAAAGUCUCUAGUGUUUGUAUGUUCAUUAUCUCUGGCGGGAUGUCUCCACGGAGCUGAUUGAACCAUAGCUUCAAAUCGCGAAGCUUAGGGAGCGAACCCAAGCUGGAAGGAAUUGUGCCCGAAAGGUAAUUGAAGCUCAAAUGAAGUGAAGCAAGUCGAGAACAGUUGCUCAGACUAGCAGGAAUAGACCCGGUAAACAAAUUGUUUUGAAGAAACAGUUCUUUCAAGUUGUUACUUGGAUCUUGACACAAACCAGCAAGGAUUGGCCCAGAUAAAUUAUUAGAACUCAGAUCUAAGGACUCCACACUGGUGAGCUUUGACAAAGAAUCAGGCAAACCACCACUGAAAACGUUAAAUGAAAAAUCAAGAUUCUUCAAGCUACUCAUUUUCAAGAGAGUAUCAACCGGCAAUUCACCAGUGAAGUUGUUGCUAGAUAUAUCAAAAGAUUCCAGUGAAGUGCAAGCAGCAAAACUACUAGGGAAAAUACCAGUAAGAUUAUUUGACGAAAGAUCAAGCUGAACAAGACCUGGACAAGCUUCCAUGAGAUGAAGAGGAAUCCGCCCUUGAAAAUGGUUGCCGCUAAGGUAAAGAAACUGCAAAUUCCCAGUUGGAAGCACUGGAAUCGAACCCGAGAACUGAUUGCUGGACACAUUCAAGAAACUGAGCUUAACACAACCACUAAUUGCAUGAGCAAGAUCGCCAUAAAACUUAUUCGAAGAGAUAUCAAGAUGCUCCAGAGCCAAACAAUCACCAAAUGAGGGGAUGCUCACGGAGAAAUUAUUUAAAGAAACAUCCAGGAACUUUAGAUUCUUGCAAUCGGAAACGUCAACAUCU
rnacentral:misc_RNA from 1 species